UACGGAGGGUGCAAGCGUUAAUCGGACUUACUGGGCGUAAAGGGUGCGUAGGCGGUUGUUUAAGUCUGUUGUGAAAUCCCCGGGCUCAACCUGGGAAUGGCAAUGGAUACUGGGCAGCUAGAGUGUGUCAGAGGAUGGUGGAAUUCCCGGUGUAGCGGUGAAAUGCGUAGAGAUCGGGAGGAACAUCAGUGGCGAAGGCGGCCAUCUGGGACAACACUGACGCUGAAGCACGAAAGCGUGGGGAGCAAACAGG
rnacentral:rRNA from 1 species